AAUAUGGGUAAGAGGACCUUGUGAGCUUAGUGACAUUGGUGUGAGUCCAGAUGCAGUACAAGGUUGGUCAGUCAGCUUCUCAAAUUCUUAAAGAGACUUUGAAUGCAUGUAUGCAUUUGGAAACCUGUUUUUACCAAAAAUAUUUGAACCUGAAAUGCCUGAUUCAUAUCCCAACAAACUGAUUUGACAGUAGAAAAGGGGGCUGUAGCUGGUUCACGUGCAAGGCAUAUUCCUUUCCCUACAGGAUCCCAGUGGAAGAGUUGGUGGAUUGAUAAGAUAAGAAUGAGGUAUAGAUUGUGAGAGACGGGCUGACAAAAAAAAUGAUACUAUAUGCUUAGUUUUUAGCUAGUCUAGAGAUGUAAUUUUUCUUUGCUUAUGUGCCUGAUGAUGAUUAGGUGCCAGUUUUCUCUCCAUAUAACAGAAGAGGUGAAUUUCAAGAGUAUGAUUUGAAGGAGGCUGUGGGGGGUGGCUGUGUUUUCUUAAAUACAAGUUUUAUCAGGUCAACAGACUGUUUUCUCUCUGUAGUUCACAAAACUCUACAGUAAUAUUUUUUCUUCCCACAGUACUAUGAAAAAAGUUUUUGGCUUCAGUUCAUGUGUGAAACCUUUUGCACAACAAAAGUGGUUUCUUGUGGCCAGUAAGAGUAAAUGUUCUGAGCAUUCCAGGAAGCAUAUAAAUAGAUCGGUACCCUUCCUAAGGUUAUGUAGCUUUAUUUCUCUCUUUUUUUUCUUUGUUUCUUUCUUUCUUUCUUUCCUGUCCCCCCACCUUCCAUUAAUGCUGUCUUUAUCUAGGCAAAGACCAAGCAGAGUACAGUGUUUGAAAAUCUUGACUAUCAUUUUCCAUUUUACUUGGGUUUGCCUUAGUUAUAUUUUCUGAAAAGGAAUUGUUUAAGUAAAUGCAACAUAGUAAAUUAUCUUAAAUUACUUCUUACAGUCCAGGCUAGUAUUAUAACAGGAAAAUUGUUACUUGGAGUCUCCCACGCCCCCGGCUGCUGCAGACCUAUGUCUCCAGGCUGAGGAGAAACCGAUCACAGUACUUAUCCAGCAGAGUCUGCAAGCCAAUCCACAAUGUGGAAAGUGGAGUUUACAUAAAGGAGAUCUCUUAUCCUUCCCCCUCAAUCCCACUAGAUACAGUAAAGCUGUAGUGAUGGUCAAAUAUAAUUAAAACAGUGAUUCUGCACUGAAGGGUAGGCAUAUAUCUAUGCAGAAACCAGAUGAGAAAUUAUUCAAGCCAAAAACAUUAAAUCUCAUCUCAUCCGUGGAUACUAUAAAACAACCAUCCUGUUUCUUUGAUCUAUGAUAUUUGAAUCUGAAUGUGUUAAUAAGACAUAUAUGUUGGGCAUCAACUUUGUCUUCUGUUGAACAAGGGUAAACAUUGCAUUUGUCUCUGUAAAAAUAUACUUCAAUAGCUGGGAAGAAAGUGGAGAUUCAUUAUUUUUGCAGUUGUAGAAGACAUUUAGCAGCUGUGUUUAUACUGGCAGACAAUUUGGAUAUUAGGUGGCAGGACAGAGAACUGCAGAUGCACAAUAUUGUGCAGACAUUGUGCACUUACAGCCCAUUUCCAGGGAAACAUGUUAUUUUAUAUUUCCCUGGGUGUCAUUAAUCACAUUUCAUGAUGUAUCUCACUAUUUCAACUCAUUCCCCUAGAUUCUUUCAUUUUUUGGCCUGUUUAUUUAAUAGUUAUUGAGCUCCAUUUCAACAAAUUCCAUCUCAACUACAGAUAAUAAAGUUCUUUUUGCUUCAGGGGAGAAAAUUAAGACGGCCCUGUACUGAUUACUGAGACUACCUGUAAUAAUCAGCAUGUCUACUACAUUGGAAAAAUAUUUUGUUUGCAUUUGGUCAGAAAAAUGUUCAUACUGUUCUUUGCUAUUUAAA